UCCCAAGCCAAUCCACUGAGA
rnacentral:piRNA from 1 species